AGAAGGUGACCAGAGGGCCCCCUGACGGCGCCCUUCCUAGCAUGAGCCAAUGGGGAAGGCGAAAAGGGGCGCGCGGGCAAAAAAGUCCCGGCGUGGCCCCGGCUCCCAAAGUUCCGUGUUCCGAGCUGCAGAAGUUUCUCGGGGUCUUAAAGUGGGAUUUCCCUGCCGUCUUCUCCCGUUGGUCACUGGCUCUUGAGGGGAGCCCUCUGGAGAGGCCCACAAGGCAAGAAACAGACCUCUUGCCAACAGCCAAGAGAGGGAUCUCGGAAGUGGAUCUUCUAGUCCCAGUCAAGCCUUCAGAUGACUGCAACCCUGCGUGACAUCUUGACUGCAACCUCAUGAGAGACCCUGAGCAAAAGCCACCCAGCUAAGUGACUCCCAAACCCCUGACCCUCAGAAGGUUCACUCUCUGUCUCUUGGAUUACUUGCCUUGGGGGAAGCCAGCUGCCAUGUUGUGAGGACGCUUAGGCAGCCUCUAUGCAGGCCCGCAUGGUGAGGAGCUGAGGCCUCCAGCCAAAGCCAGUGCGGGACUGAGGCCUGCCAACAACCGCGUGUGUGAGUUUGGAAUUGAAUCCUCUAGCCCCAGAUGACUACGGCCCUGCCUGAGAGCUUGACUUCAACCUCAUGAGAGACUCAGAAAAAACCAUCCAGCUAAGCUGCUCCCAGAUUCCUGAUUCUCAGAAAUUGUGUGACAUAAUAAAUGUUUGGGUUUUUAUUUUUUUAAGUUUUUUUUUUUCUUGAUGUGGACCAUUUUUAAAGUCUUUAUUGAAUAUGUAGCAAUAUUGCAUCUGUUUUAUGUUUUGGUUUUUUGGCCCUGAGGCAUGUGGGAUCUUAGCUCCCCGACCAGGGAUUGAACCUGCACCCCCUGCAUUGGAAGGCGAGGUCUCAACUACUGGACUGCCAGGGAAGUCCCAUAAAUGUUUGUUUGAAGGUACUGAGUUUUGGGGUAAUUUGUUACACAGUGAUAUAUAGCUAAUACAUCCAUGCCACUGUCAUUUAUCUCUCCAGACCAUCAAUCAUCCAAACAUUAUCCAUCUAUCAUCCAUCCAACGGUCUAUCUAUCCAGCUACCCAUCCAAACAUACAUCAUCCAUCCAUCCAUCCAUCCAAAUACCUAAGCAUUAUCCAUCCAUCUCUCUACCAUCAUCCACCUAGUGAAUUCAAUGACCCAUCUGUCCAUCCAUCCACUCAUCCCCUUAACCAUUCCACCAUCCUUCUCUAAAACUUAGAUAUGUCACCCAGAACCCAGAGGUAAAGACUGUUCCUUCCAUGCCAGCCCUUACCUGAGCUAUAUCUAGAUCUGUCUCCACUGCCUCAAGGUCUUUCCCAGAGGCAAAGAGUUUGUGUGCAUUCUCCACAUCCACAAGUAGUUCAUCUGGGAGAUCAGCCUGUGGGGAGAGAGAAUAGAGACUUAAGGAAAUCUUGAGCCUGGGAGAUGUUAAGCAGUAAGGCAGUCUAAACAUUUGAGCUCAGGGGUAGAAGUGAAGGUCAAAUGUCAGACAGCUGGGACACCAAAGGGGUCAAAUAGCAAAUGUGAGUUUCUGCACCUGGGUGUUCAAAAGUCUGAGUGCCUGGGCAUAAAUUUUUUUUAUAUAUAAAUUUAUUUAUCUUAUUUUAUUUAUUUUUGGCUAUGUUGAGUCUUCGUUGCUGCAUGCGGGCUUUCUCUAGUUGCGGCGAGCGGGGGCUACACUUCAUUGCGGUGCGCGGGCUUCUCAUUGUGGUGGCUUCUCUUGUUGCGGAGCACGGGCUCUAGGGGAGCGGGCUUCAGUAGUUGCGGCACGUGGGCUCAGUAGUUGUGGUGCAGGGGUUCUAGAGCACAGGCUCAGUAGUUGUGAGGAACGGGCUUAGUUGCUCCGCUGCAUGUGGGAUCUUCCCGGACCAGGGCUCGAACCAGUGUCCCCUGCAUUGGCAGGCGGAUUCUUAACCACUGCGCCACCAAGGAAGUCCCUCUGGGUGUAGAUUGACAGAGCAAACAUCAAAGGUUCGAAAGACCAAAGCCUGAGGCCAAGAUAUUCUGGCCCUCUGGGGUUAAAUGUCUUGGAGUCUGGAGGCAAACAAUGCCCAGUCCAGCUUCCCAAGGGUAAAGGGUGAGGUCAAAGGUCACAGUCUAUUUCUCCGGUGGAGAGAAGAUAUUUUGGGGCGGGGGGUCACAAAGGUGGGAAUAAGGAAAGUCAAGACCAGAUAAUAUGGACCCCUGAGUCAAAGGUCAGACUAUCUGGACCCUUAAGUAAAAACAGUAACCAUUAUGGUCUCUUGAAGCCUUUACUACGUGCUUCUCAUGAAUGAUUUCGUUGAACCCUCACAAUAACCAGUGAGGUGGCUACUUGCUAUUAUCUGAAUUUUGCAGGUGAAGAAACCGAGGCCCCACGUGUCCAGGGUAACACACCUAUAAAUGGCAGAGUCAGGAUUUGAAUCCAGGUUUGUGCAGUUUAAGACAUUAGACAUUCUGGACUCUCUGAAUUCAAACUUCAGAAAACCUGGAUGCUUGGUCACAAGCAAUGAGGGGAUCACCCAUGCCAGUCCCAAACAUCCUAGGUUUUGGUCCAGAUAACAGUUGAAGAAUCUGGAAUCUAGGUCUUGAAGGAACCCCCGACUCCAUGUCAUCCCAGCCUUUCCACUACAUAGAUGGAGAAACUGAGGCCCAGAGAAUAGCAAGGUUCAAGCCGAAGGCCAGAACAGCCUAGAUCCUGAGGGCUGAAGUGGAGGGGACUGCUUACCGGAAGAGGACUUCGGGGGCGUCGUGGGGCUGGGGGUGCGCUGGGGGUAGCGGCUACUGAAGUCCCAUCCAGGAUCGGUGCCAGGAGGCGACGGAGGUCAGGGCUACAGAAACGACGGGGGUCAGCGGCCAGGGCGGCCUCACUCAGGGCAGGGGGGUGCAGGAAGGCUAGGAUCCGGGGACCAGAGGUGUCUGCAGGACACAUCAAGAUGGGGAGGACACAGGAUGGUCACCCAGGGCUGAGGGGCAGAGCCCUCUGUCAACCCCCGGGAGCAUAGCUGACUAGGUCAUCAGCAUAGACCCCGUUCACAGCGCUGCUGAGUCCUGGAGAACUCCUGCUGUCCCUUCAGUUGCCCUGGAGGGGCUAACAUGGGGUGAGGGCACACAGUAGGCUGGAGACUGUAGCAAUUGCCCAAUGGUGGGGAAAUGUUUUAAUAUUUAAAAUUGACAUGGCUGGACCAUGGCACGUGACUGACCCGGUUCUCCGGUGGCACAGAAUAACAUUCAGCCUGGGGGGCUGUCAUGUUAGGAGAAAAGACUGGCCCAUGAUCCUCAAGGAGAUUCUAAGGUCCCUGGAGGUCAAGAUGUGGUCCCGAGCCAGUUCUAAGCCAGAAAAGGAAAGGAUAUGGGGGACCUCAUUACCACACCCAGGAGCAUGGGUUGCCAGCACCAGUUUGGAGACGGCGAGGCCCUGAAGAACAAACAGGGAGGGAAGCUCAUCCAUCCAGGAUUGGAGGGGGUGGGGUGUUAAGCAGAGGACAAGGAAGAGGUAGAAAGGAGCCAGACGUGGAAGGGUCAAGAUUACCGGAAGCCAAAGAACAGUGAAGUGGGAGCACGGAACAAAUGGAAAGUGGGGGCGAUUGGAAGCCACAGCAGGAUUCAGAGCAGAGAGCAACAAGACUGAAGCAAUCAUCCUGGGGACAGAGGAGAAGAGGGAAGAGGGAAGAGAGAAGGGCGUUCUGGGCGGAAGAAACUACAUGUGCAAAGGCCCUGAGGCAUGAAAGAGUUUGGUUUGUUCCCAGAGCACUAAGGAAGCUGGUGUGGCUCAGAGAGUAAGAAGGGGAGGGAAGCAGGUCACACAGGGCCAAGCGAGUGGCAUUAAGGCACUUGGGCUUUCUUCCGAGCAUCCUGGGGACACGACCCCUCCCAGCCCCAGCCCUGCCCCAUACCAAGGCUGUCACCGGGAUUAGGGGCAUCCUUCUGAGAGGGGGUGCCCCGCUGAACGUGUCUGCGAGAGUGUCGCUCCGUUUGCUCCAGGGACAGCACCACUUCGGUCUCUUCCACCCGGCUGGGGUACAGGGCAGAAAGGGGAGUUGGAGUCAGGGAGCAGCCCCCACAUAUGAUGUCCCGUUAGAGGAGGGCAGUCUCAUCCGGGGGCUGGUGGGCAUUGUGCAGAAAAUACUUUGCCACAUUGACUUGUUUUAAAGAUUUAAAUUUUGUUGAAUGCUUUUUAUUAUAAUAGCAUUGAAAAGAAAGUGAAGUGUGUCUUCCCCAGCUCCCUCUGUGGAAGGAAAGGCAGAAAAAAAGAGUUGGCAUUUAGCACAGCCUGGGGAGAGAGAGAGAGAGGAGAGACUGAGGGGCCAUGAGGGGCAGAGAGCAGGGAGAGUGAAAGGCAUGAGAACUAAAUAUUCUCUUUAUAGAUAUUUACUUAUAAAUACAUUCUUAUAAAUGUAUUGAUGAGGAAUAUGUACUUACUAUAUUCUUAUGUUGCCAAAUAUGAAGAAUUUAUGGGGAUAUAUUUUUAUGAAUAAGAGAUUUUAUUUAUGAAGCUUCUAUUCAUAGGCAUUUGUCACAUUCAAGGGAACGAAUUUAUAAAUACAUCCUUAUGUCCCUCGCGCCUUCCUGCCGCCCCCUCCCUCCCCUGUCUGUAGCUGCAGAAGCAACUCAAAUGUUCUCUCUGCAAAUUGGCUCCUGGAGAAUGGGUCUGGGGUGGAGGACCAGACCUUCAUUUGCAUCUCAUUUGCAGAACAAUAUCCAGGUCAGAAUGUGGGUGGUCCUUCUACCAGCUCUUUGAGAAGCUGUGACCCUUCCCCAUCCUCACCCACCCCUUCUGAGCUGGAAACAUUCCAAUUUAGGCUGGAUCCAAAGCCACCCCACCCCUCUUGAAAAACAUAACGUCGCACAGUCACACGUGUAUGCACCCUCGGCACUUACAGGCACAAACAGGAACUCCCAUAUACGCCCAAGUGUAUACAUCAGAUAUGCACACAUGCUCUAUACACUUGGGCUCACACAUAUGCAUACAUGCCACAUGAAAUGCACGCGUUCAUUCAUUCCACAGACAUUUCCUACACAACCAGUAAUACUUAGUGGUUAAGAGCAAGGGCUCUGCAGCCAGCAGCCUGGGUUCAAAUUCCAGCUCCGCCACUUAUGAGCUGUGUGACCUUGAGCAUAUGGCUGAACCUCUCUGGGCCUCAUUUUCCUCUCCUGUAAAGAGGGAAUAAUAAUAGUACCUCCUCCCCAGGUUGUUGUGAGGCCUAAAUGAGUUAGUGUAUGUCAAAUGCAUAGAACCGUGCCUGGCACGGGGUGAGCUCUAUGUAAGUAUUUGCCAUUAUUGUUUAUUGAGCAACUACUGUGUGCCAGACACUGUUCUAGGCGCUGGAGAUUCAGCAGCCCACAAGACAGACAAAACUCCCUGCUCUCAUGGGGCUUAAAUGCUAGUGGGAAAAGACAGACCUUCAAUAAAAGAUAUUAUUUGUUGGUAAAUGUAUCUAUCUAGUUACAAAAUAUAUAUUUCCACUAAUGAAGCACUUGAAACAUGGCUGGUUGGAAUUGAGAUGUACUGUCAGUAUAAAAUACACCCCAGAUUGAAAAAAUUGAGUAUGAAAAAGAAUCUAAAAUAUCUCAUUAAUAAUUUUUAAUAUUGAUUACAUGUUGAAAUGACAUUUUUGGAUGUAUUAGAAUACACGCACAUAUACCUAUAUUACAAUGUAUAAUACACUGAAUAGUGUAUUAUUAAUUACAUUAAUUAAUAAUGUAUUACUGAUUUAACAAUGUAUUAUUGAUGUGAUAUAUUAUUGUAUUUAAUAAAGUAUU